UACGUAGGGUGCAAGCGUUGUCCGGAUUCAUUGGGCGUAAAGAGCUCGUAGGCGGCUUGGCAAGUCAGAUGUGAAACCCUCAGGCUCAACCUGGGGAUGCCAUCUGAUACUGCUAUGGCUAGAGUAUGGUAGGGGACUACGGAAUUCCUGGUGUAGCGGUGAAAUGCGCAGAUAUCAGGAGGAACACCAGUGGCGAAGGCGGUAGUCUGGGCCAUUACUGACGCUGAGGAGCGAAAGCGUGGGGAGCGAACAGG
rnacentral:rRNA from 3 species